rnacentral:snRNA from 1 species
UGGGCUUGACCGUAUGGA